UGGGGAAUAUUCGACAAUGGGCGAAAGCCUGAUCCAGCCAUGCCGCGUGUGUGAAGAAGGUCUUCGGAUUGUAAAGCACUUUAAGUUGGGAGGAAGGGCAGUAAGCGAAUACCUUGCUGUUUUGACGUUACCGACAGAAUAAGCACCGGCUAACUCUGUGCCAGCAGCCGCGGUAAUACAGAGGGUGCGAGCGUUAAUCGGAUUUACUGGGCGUAAAGCGUGCGUAGGCGGCUAAUUGAGUCGGAUGUGAAAUCCCCGAGCUUAACUUGGGAAUUGCAUUCGAUACUGGUUAGCUAGAGUGUGGGAGAGGAUGGUAGAAUUCCAGGUGUAGCGGUGAAAUGCGUAGAGAUCUGGAGGAAUACCGAUGGCGAAGGCAGCCAUCUGGCCUAACACUGACGCUGAGGUACGAAAGCAUGGGGAGCAAACAGG
rnacentral:rRNA from 1 species